rnacentral:ncRNA from 2 species
ACCAUCUAGUAGCUGGUUCC